rnacentral:rRNA from 1 species
UACGUAGGUGGCGAGCGUUGUCCGGAUUUACUGGGCGUAAAGGGAGCGUAGGCGGACUUUUAAGUGAGAUGUGAAAUACCCGCGCUCAACUUGGGUGCUGCAUUUCAAACUGGAAGUCUAGAGUGCAGGAGAGGAGAAUGGAAUUCCUAGUGUAGCGGUGAAAUGCGUAGAGAUUAGGAAGAACACCAGUGGCGAAGGCGAUUCUCUGGACUGUAACUGACGCUGAGGCACGAAAGCGUGGGGAGCAAACAGGAUUAGAUA